AUGUAACAAUUCAUACCCUAAAGACAAGAUAUAAGGAUCAAUUUUUAUGAACACAAUGGUUUGGCAAUGACACAUUUCUAAAAGGGGCAAAAGUCCCUCUAAAGUUAACCAUUAUGGAGAGAAAGAAGUGAGGCAUGACCAGAGGAAGUAGACAGGUGUCUGAAGGCUUGGAGUCUCAUGAACAAUUGCUAUUGUAAUGGUUUCUGUACUAUUUGAGCUAAAGUUCAGAUGUGAAUGGAGUCUUGUUGCAUGAACUGAAUUUUACCAGUUUCAGCCUGAAGCAUUAUGGGACGUUCAUUGGAGUUCUGAAUGAAAAUUCACUCUCAAACCAACUAUAGUCCAGGAAGUUGACAUAUUCAAGAUUUGGGCACACUACGAGGAGAGUUAUGUUCAGUUAGUCAAUGAUGAAGAUGUGCAAGGUUCAAUAACUGCAUCAAAUGAAGUCCAGAACUCAAAAAAAUAUAUUGAAAUCGCAAACAGUGCAGAAAAUUGAUAUAAACAAUUAAUAAAAGUUAUCAAACAAUGUCUGGUGCUACACUGAAGGCCUGGUGCCAGCAGCUUCCAGUCAGCUCCACUAAAAUCAGCUACACUAAUAGACCGACAAAGCUAUGCAGAAGGCUUCAAGGCUGAAAAU
rnacentral:lncRNA from 1 species